GAGUUCGUGGUGUAAUGGUAAGCACAUUCGGCGCGUAUUCGAGAGGUCCGUGGUUCGAGUCCCGGCGAGGGCA
rnacentral:tRNA from 1 species